AGAGAGACCCAAACACUAACUGGGGGCCCAUCUCUUGGAAGAAGAAGUGAAGCAGUCACGGAGCCAAGAGGUGGUGCAGGUGCCACCUGCACUGUGAGAAUCAUUGACAGACAGCAACAAUACAUCUACUCUAUACAGAAGAAUAUGUAGAAAAUCAAGUAUGAAGUGUAAUCUCAUUAUCAAAGAGAAGACAAAGCUUUGAUGUCAACAGGAGUCCUUCUGUAGACUUUGAUAUAGAAUUAAUUUCAGUAAUCUUAAUUAUUUUGCCCCAGUCUUAAUAUCUUUAUUGCACCACUUUUCCUAAAAGAGAGCAAACAGUUUGGGGAUUUUCUUUUCUUUCUUAUUCAAUUUUGUUUUGGUUUCAGUGGGAGUGUUUGGUGUUGGUUGAGUUGCUGAGAAAGAAGUCCUGAGGGACAAGAGAGGUUGUGUGUGUCUUGGAAUGUAGAUGUAGGUGGCAUAUUGGCCUUAUGAUGGAUGCAGAGAAUUGAGGAGUGAUAAUUCACCCAAAAUCCCCAAUUGUAAUAUUUUGAUGUAUUAUGACAAUAUAAUCUUGUGUAUUAAUAACAGAUUAUAAUAUGUAUAUUUAUAGGGUAGUAUGUUGCCAGAUGAGAUUUGCUUAUGUAAAUUGUGCUACCUGUGUUUGAAACUGAUAGUGGCUGUGACUUAAUGGUGCUCCAAAAAGCACAUUGUAGCUUCAGUCUUAGGUGGGAUUGUGUGUUUGAAGAAGUCUCUCAAUGUUUAUUUGUUUCCUCCCUAUUCUCUCUUUAGGAUUUUUAGAAAAAUGUAUUUCCUCCAAGAACUCUAGUCUCCUAAUUUGGUGAUAUACAUUUCAUUUAGCUGUGUGCCCCUUUAUGCGGUCUUGAUUUAAUGUGUCAUUUUCUUCUGCCUCACAGAACAGGGACGAGUGAGCAAGAACCAAAACUUUUCUGAAAACAGCAAGAAAGGCUUUAUUAUAUAAAGCUUAAACAGAAAAGCAAGAGUGACAGGAUUUCCAUACAACUGAAAGAUUAUCUUCUUUAAAUGUGUAACUCAUGUUUGCUCUUUAUGGGCAGAUUGUUAGACUGUAUGUUCAGCUCUCUCAUGAGGCAUUUAGGACUUCAAAUGCAAUAAUAAAUUAAUUUGAAAGAUAGAGACAAUAAUAAGAGAUUUGAUUUCAGACCAGAGACGUGAAACUUUUGUGGAAUUCUCAAACACUAAAAAGCAUAAAUGACAGCUUUAUUUACUUGUGUAAAUGAGCCCACCAAGGGGGCAAAACACAAGAUCAACAGUGUUAGGAAGAGCAGCUCCUUUUUUCAUCUCCAGAGAGAUGUGCCUUUCAUCAGUGUUAUUCCAGCUUUCCUCCACGUCACUUGGCUACCCCAGUCCCCUGAGAGGCCAAGGCAGCAAAGCAAGGGCAAAUGAGAGCCCUGGUGUGUGCAGGCUCCCUCCUCCUGAGAUAACCCAGGGCACUCCUGGACACAGGACAGGGCAGCUGACGCCCAUCAGCUCAGAAAGGAAACCAUUCGUUUACUCAGAGGCCAACACAAAGCCACCAGAUGGGAACAGUUUUCUGUCACUGUCUCUCAAGGCUGGAGCACAGCUCUCCAGCCUUCUGUGACAUCAAUUUUAUGCUGAGAGCACAGCAGUCUCAAAAAACACUGAAGAGCCAUUUACUUGUGAAGUAUAAGAAACAUCUGUCAGAGGCUGAAAGUGUUAAAGAAAUGCUUAACUGUACAUUGAGUUGGCAGAAUCUUAGGCUCAGACUACAGGAAAAAACAUUAGCAGUAAAAGUCCACAAGAUUUAUCCUAAUUUAUCAGAUUACUUCCUCAGAAAGUCUCCUUUUGAACUGCUCUUCAACAGAAGAACAAAUGUGUAGACUUCAAUGCUUAAUAAAGCUAAAAGCUUCUCCCUGGGGUAAUUGAAAUUUUUCUAUCAAAGGGUAGAUAGACCUGGUUGCAGCUGCAACAAAGAAGAAACAUAUAAAGCCAAGUGGAAAGCAGUUAGACAGCAUUGGUGGUGUAGGACCAUUGAACAUGGUCUUGCUAAUUGGAAUCUAUAGCACAGGACAUUCAACUACAUGCUGGGCAAAUGACCCUGAAAGUUUCAAGUCUAUCUAGUAUAAAAAAAAAAAAGUUCAGAUGUAAAAAUAAUCAUAGGAAUGAUGGAUUCUGUAUCCUUGAAUGGGCAUAACCAACCAGAGAUCUGGGUAACUGGCAAAUUUCUUUUUUAAAUAAGGCCCUUUGAGUCCCAUAUAUGCAUCUACUUUCACAAGCAUUUCAAAACCCGUCUUCUAAUAAUUUCACACAGAGCUUUCAGAGCAGCAAUGUUCAAAAGAAUGAAAGUAAUGAAACACAGCAAAGUUUUACAUUUUUAUUUCUGUACUUUGGGAAAAUUCCUAUUGAAGACAGAAGGCAGUUCAAAUUGGAAUUGCUUUACUGCCAACAAAAAUGUGUGACUCUUGAUCUAACGAAAAAUUAGAGAGAUUGAAAAGCAGAAGUAGACUUAGGAAAGAUUUCAGUUACAGCAGGAUGCAGCCCUUAUUGCAUUUGUAGUUCAAACUGUGAUCUCUAAGAAGAUCUAAAUUGCUCUGGAGUGUGGAAUUUAGGGUAUUUGAGACUUUAUUUUCUCAGAGGAAUAAGUAUGGGUAGCUAAGAAAUGAGGUUUUAUUGUCACACAUUUAGAAAACAUAUGUCACUUUAAUUUAAAAUAAAAUGUCAUUUAAUGAUGAAAAUGUUACAUUCUCAAAACCCUUGUCACGCAAAUAUGAAGUUGUUCAAAAUGGUUUCAAGAAGUGGAUAUUUUAAUUUUUUUUUGACGCUUUCAUUCCAGUAAACUGAUUUGGAUUAGCAUACUUUUAUUUUAUAUUGGAAGAA